GAAGCAACAAGCGUCAACUACAGAGCGAUAACGAGGAAGAAUCUACACUUCCUACGAAGUAAGUGAAGAUUUGAGUUUCAAUCUAUUGUUUAAAAUUAUCUAUGAAUUAUUGUACUGAAUCAUCAUUUUUUUAAUCUCCUUUCUUUGGUCCUUUAUAAUAAUAGUAUAUCCUUUGUAAAAGAAGUGUAAAGACAUCGACGGCAAAGAGGUAGCGUAAGCAAAGUUGGCGGAGGCAAAUAAGGAGCGUGGAAUAAAGAAAGAGUCGAGUCCACAUGGGCGGCCAUAGCGUUUGUGUCCCACCUUUGUCCCCUUGCCUCUUUCUUGCCUUUCAUGCUCCCGACAACAUCUCUCUCUCUUCCUUUAACCCUAACUUCUAUGCAUCUUCUCCCUCCUGUAUAUAUCUCUCUUUCUCUAAACCCAUCAUCAACCAAACUCACAAACAAGAACAAGAAGAACAAGGAUUCUGCUUUGGAUAUAUUACACAGAGACAUAUAGAGAGAGAGGUGUCUUGAUCUUGAAAAAAAAUGGCUUACGAGAAAGUCAAUGAGCUUAACCUUAAGGACACAGAGCUUCGUCUUGGAUUACCCGGAACGGAGCAAGAUAAGGAAGAACAAGAGGUUUCUUGCGUUAGAAGCAACAAGCGUCAACUACAGAGCGAUAACGAGGAAGAAUCUACACUUCCUACGAAGUAAGUGAAGAUUUGAGUUUCAAUCUAUUGUUUAAAAUUAUCUAUGAAUUAUUGUACUGAUGAUGAUUCUUUGCUAAUUUACAGAACUCAAAUCGUUGGUUGGCCUCCGGUGAGAUCUUACCGUAAAAACAACAACAGUGUGAGCUAUGUGAAAGUGAGUAUGGAUGGAGCUCCAUACCUUAGGAAAAUAGAUCUCAAGACAUACAAAAACUAUCCAGAGCUUCUCAAGGCAUUAGAGAACCUGUUCAAGUUCACGAUCGGUGAAUACAGCGAAAGAGAAGGAUACAAAGGAUCUGGAGUUGUACCAACGUACGAGGAUAAAGAUGGAGAUUGGAUGUUGGUUGGUGAUGUUCCAUGGGAUAUGUUCUCUUCCUCUUGUAAGAGACUCAGGAUCAUGAAAGGAUCUGAUGCUCUUGCUUUGGACUCGGCCUUAUGAUGAUGAUGAUGAUGAUGAUGAAAGCUUUUGAUGGAUGAAACCCUUUUUGAUUUGAUUCUGAUCGGAGUUUGAGUAGUUGACCACACCAAAAACAGAACAUGUCAGGGUUUUGUUCGAUGAGAUAGAUCCAUCUUCAAGGGGUUUUCUUUUUGUUUUGUUUGAUCCUUGUUUUUAGAUUUGCAGCUUGUUGUAAAGAUAGAUGAAAUUUUUGUACAAUACGGACAUAUACACAAUAUAGAUGCGUAUGUAGCAAUGUUUUGACGAAAAGAGUCUUUAAUUUCAUAGUGAUAUCUACAAUAAUUUACAAUAAAGAACCUCAUAGUAUUCUUUAGGAGAGGGCAAAAUAAGGGUUUGGAUUCGAUCAGGAAAUUUUGGAUAUUUGUAACUCCAACAAAAAAAAAUACUUACAUUUAAUUAUAGUUAAAAACUGAAAAAAUUAUAAUUACUAAAAUUUUAGAAGAUAUAUGUGUUUAUUAUAUUUAUAUGAAAGUUUGAUAUAUUUUCGCUAAAUUAUUUAUUUAUUUAUUUAUUAAAAAGUAAAAUUAAAUUACAUUUUAUUUCGUAAUGAACAUUAUUAUAAUAUGUCAAAUUUCGAAUUUUUUAAUAAAAAAUAUUUUUACAUUUAAAAAAGAUUAAUCAAGAAACAGGCCUGAUAAGAGUUUCCAAAGCCCAAUUGACUUGAGUCCAUUGAUUUUGGUUAUGUGCUAUGACGGGGCGAAUCUAGCCCAUUUAAAUUAUGGGUGCACUAUUGAUAGAAAAACAUAAAAAUACAUUAGACAAGGAUCGAACCUAAGAAACUGAGGGUGCACAUACUUCUUUUUACCAUAUAAGCUAACCAAAUUUUGAUGUUUCUACGUGUAAAAUACUAAAUUUUAAAAUAAUUGUGGGUGCACAUGUCCCCUCAUCCUUUAACUUGGCUUCGCCAGGUGUUUCCACCUUCGAUGAUCAGAUAAGUGGAGAAGGUGAAAUCUACAUAAAGCUUGAAUGAAUUGGUACAUUUGAUAUAGCAACGAAAUUAUACAUAGUAUUAAUUUAAUUUAUUUUACUUCGUAAGUCAAGCUAGGCAAGAUUGUUUUGCGUGAAAUUUCGACAGGAAGACACUUGUUUCCAGUUAAUUGGGAAAUAAUUAAUAACUAGAAUAAGACAUGCGCUAGUGCGCAUAAUGAUUUUGUUUGUAUAUAUUAUCGAUAAUUCUUUUUAUAUAUUUGUUUAUUUUGUUAAUGCAUAUACAAUAUUUUUUGCUAAUAUUAUAUAAUUUCUUUCUGAUAGAUCGGAUUAAUUUUUAUUAAAAGUUGUGGAACUAAAUUAUAAUUAAUAUAUCAUAGGUUGAUUGGAUUUAAACAAAUUGUGACACAAAAACCUUAUUUUUUUCACCGGACACAUUAUUGAAAAAAAUGAAUAGUAAUGUUUCCACAGUUGAAUUGUUUUGACAUUGAUCUUCCAUAUGGUUUUGACAUGUUUCAGAUCAACAAUCAAAUUAAUACAUGUCAUUUUAAUGAUUUUAGUCGUAUGGUUAAGUAAAACUUACAUUUUUGUAAUUUAAAUUUGUUUUAAAAAAAUUCAGAAUAUAACAUAUAAGAAAAAAUCUAACAUAUAAGAAAAAAUCUAACAUAUAAGAAAAAUAUAACAUAUAAGAUUUCCUCAUUUUUGUAAAUUAAAGUCGUUUUAAACAAAAAUUAAAUUAUAACAUAUAAGGUUUCCUCAUUUUUGUAAUUUAAAGUCAUUUUAAAAAUUUUAAAAUAUAACAUAUAAGUAAAAAAACUAGUUUUUUAAUUAUAUGGUUAAUGUGAUUAUUUUAAUUUUUUUAAUAAUAUAAAAUUUAAAAAAAAAUGAAGAAUGAUGCAAAAAUUGUUAUAAAUUUUUUAUUAUUCAUAGUCAUUAACUGUCAUAUAUAUGUUAAUACUAUUAGGUAAUUUCGUAGUUUUUAUUUAAAGAAAUAAUACAUGUUUCUUAUAUUUUGAGUUAAUAUAAUGUUUCUUAAUAACUGGAUUUGAACCAACAUUUUUUCAAUUAAUUCUUAAGCUGUCAUGUAAACUAAAUUGUCAUCCUAAUUAAGUGAUACCUAAACAGUGUCUCUUUUUAAUUAGUACAAACUUAAUGUUAUAAUUUUUUUAAUAGUCCUCAAUUAAUAUAUAGGGAUUCAUAUAAUCAUAUUUAACAUGUUUAAUGAGGGGUCGUACAUAUUUAUAAUAUAUUUUUUUUUUUAUUGCUAUCUUAGCUUAACUGGUCAUGCAUGUUUCGUAUGUUUUUGAUACUGCUAGUACAUUCAAGUCUAGUUUUGUAUAAUCUAAGUCUGUAAUCUAAUUUUCAACAGUGGUGAUAUAUAUAUUAAUGGGAAAAUUAGGGCACGAAUAAUUAAGAAUUGCAAUUCUAUACUAAGAAAAAUGAGUUGAAAACAUGUUUUGAAAGUUUAAUCCUGCGAGUUAAAACAUUUUGAGGCACCUUUUUCUUAAUAUUUGCAAAUCUAAUGUCUUAACUUUUUAUCAUAUUCAUUACUGCAUUUUGCCGCGUGCCAAUUAACAUAAGUGCACGCUACUACAAUCGAAUGGUAUAUCGAUGCAGUAUUGUAUGAUUGAAUCCAUAAAAAACUAGUGGUAUAUAACAAUAAGAAUACACAAACUUUUCUAAUCUAAGCAAAUAAGAAGAUGGAUGAUUUGUAACAAUCUAAGUAAUGACAGUAGUGAUCAUGGGCCUUUGGAGAAAGUGAAAGAGCAGUCUCAAGCCCACACGGUCACCACCAAAGUUCAGCCUAAUCCUCCUCUGUCGUCUAGUGUCAAACAGAAAGCAUUCAAGGUUCAAUCUUCUUGCUCCAGUACGACGAGGCCAGCUAAUGGCAUAACGGUUGGAAAUAGAUUUGAGUGUCUUGGUACACAGCCUGUCAUGUGCUGAGUCAGAGUAGAGGAUAAGAUCUUAUGUCUCUAUAUAAUGUAAAACGUGAACAUGUAAUCAGCAAGCAAGAAAGUAAUAAAAGUUAAAACGUUCUUCUUCACAAAACUCUAAGUUUUUUCAUGGUAUCAGAGCCAUGGAGGACUCUGACGCUAUUUCUACGCCAUCACUGAGUAUCUCUCAGUGUGUGACGUUAAAACUCACAUCUUCCAACUACUUGCUUUGGAAGACACAGUUCGAAUCCUUUCUUUACAGUCAAUCCUUGCUCGGUUUUCUCAAUGGAGGUUCUCUUCGCCCUGCUCCAACGGUAACGGUUCAAGAAGGAGAUGGAGUCACAGAGCAGCCUAAUCCUGAGUUUCAGAAGUGGAUGCGCAAAGACCAGCUUGUCAUGGCUUGGUUGUUCGGUUCUCUGUCUGAGGAUGCUCUCAGAUCUGUCUACGGUCUCACGUCAGCUCAGGAGGUCUGGUUCUGCCUUGGAAAGAAGUACAAUCGUGUCUCAGCUACAAGAAAACUAGAUCUCCAACGUAAGCUUCAAGGUAUGACUAAAAGCCAAAGAACCAUGACAGAGUAUCUAGGAGAGAUUAAGAGUAUCUGUGACCAGUUAGACUCUAUAGGGUGUAGCAUGACUGAGCAUGAGAUGAUAUAUGGUGCGUUGAGCGGUUUAGGGAAAGAGUAUGAAUCCAUAUGUACGGUUAUUGAGCAUUCUAUGGAUUCGGUUACUGAGAUGACGUUUGAAGAUGCUGUGUUCAAGCUCACUACCUUUGAUGAUAAGCUUCAGGUCUAUAACCAAAGUGCCACAGUUAAUCCUCAUCUUGCCUUUCAUGUUGGAAGGGGUUACUCUAACAACAGAGGCAGAGGAGGUUACACUAACAGAGGGGAUUAUAGAGGUGGUCGAAGCAACAACAACUACUCCACAAGGGGACGUGGCUUUCAACAGCAGUUCUCAAGUGGUAAUGGUCGUGACAAUGUUAGCUCAGGGUCCGGUUCCAACAACAGACCUACCUGCCAAAUCUGUGGGCGGUAUGGUCAUUCAGCUGCGAGAUGCUACAAUCGCUAUGAUCAAGAGUCUCAGUCUUCAGAUAACCUACCCAAUGCGCUCACCACAAUGAGACUUUCUGAUCAAGAACACAGUACCGGUCAAGAAUGGUAUCCAGAUUCUGCUGCGUCUGCCCACAUUACAAGCAACCAGUCUCAGUUAACGUCAGCAGAACCCUAUCUUGGGAAUGAUCAAGUGAUCGUUGGGAAUGGAGAUUACCUGCCAAUCACGCAUGUUGGAUCUGUCGCCUUACACACACAACAAGGUACUCUUCCUCUUGAUGAUGUGUUAGUCUGUCCUGGAAUAACAAAGUCUUUGAUAUCGGUUUCAAAACUCACUUCAGACUAUCCAUGUGAAGUUACAUUUGAUUCUGAAACUGUUUUUGUUAAGGACAAGCAAACAAAACAGGUGAUAACUCAAGGCAGAAGGGAUAAGGAUCUGUAUAUGUUGAAGGAUGCAAGAUAUCAAGCUUUUUAUUCUACAAGACAGAGAGCUACAAGUGUGGAGAUUUGGCAUCAAAGGCUAGGCCAUCCUCACAAGGACAUCCUUCAGCAGUUAGCCAGGAGUAACGCUAUCAGUUUGAAUAAAGGGGGGACAUUGGAGCUCUGUGAAGCGUGUCAGAUUGGCAAGAGUUGCAGGCUUCCUUUUCUUCUUUCAGAAACUUUUUCUAAUAGACCUUUAGAGAAGAUACAUUGUGACUUAUGGGGACCUAGUCCAGUUGUUUCUGCUCAAGGAUUUGGAUUACCCGGAAUAGAGCAAGAUAAGGAAGAACAAGAGGUUUCUUGCGUUAGAAGCAACAAGCGUCAACUACAAAGCGAUAACGAGGAAGAAUCUACACUUCCUACGAAGUAAGUAAAGAUUUGAGUUUCAAUCUAUUGUUUCAAAUUAUCUAUGAAUUGUUGUACUAAUGAUGAUUCUUUGCUAAUUUACAGAACUCAAAUCGUUGGUUGGCCUCCGGUGAGAUCUUACCGUAAAAACAACAACAGUGUGAGCUAUGUGAAAGUGAGUAUGGAUGGAGCUCCAUACCUUAGGAAAAUAGAUCUCAAGACAUACAAAAACUAUCCAGAGCUUCUCAAGGCAUUAGAGAACCUGUUCAAGUUCACGAUCGGUGAAUACAGCGAAAGAGAAGGAUACAAAGGAUCUGGAGUUGUACCAACGUACGAGGAUAAAGAUGGAGAUUGGAUGUUGGUUGGUGAUGUUCCAUGGGAUAUGUUCUCUUCCUCUUGUAAGAGACUCAGGAUCAUGAAAGGAUCUGAUGCUCUUGCUUUGGACUCGGCCUUAUGAUGAUGAUGAUGAUGAUGAUGAAAGCUUUUGAUGGAUGAAACCCUUUUUGAUUUGAUUCUGAUCGGAGUUUGAGUAGUUGACCACACCAAAAACAGAACAUGUCAGGGUUUUGUUCGAUGAGAUAGAUCCAUCUUCAAGGGGUUUUCUUUUUGUUUUGUUUGAUCCUUGUUUUUAGAUUUGCA
rnacentral:lncRNA from 1 species